AACCUAGCACACCUGCGGUGUGUACCUGCGGAGGGAUCAUUAUCGAGUUACCACUCUAUAACCCUUUGUGAACAUACCUACAUGUUGCUUCGGCGGUCGGCCCCCCGGGCCCCCGGCCCCGCUCACGCGGGGCGUCCGCCGGAGGAUAACCAAACUCUGAUUUAACGACGUUUCUUCUGAGUGGCACAAGCAAAUAAUCAAAACUUUUAGCAAUGGAUCU
rnacentral:misc_RNA from 1 species